AACGAACGCUGGCGGCAUGCCUAACACAUGCAAGUCGAACGAGACCUUCGGGUCUAGUGGCGCACGGGUGCGUAACGCGUGGGAACCUGCCCUUAGGUUCGGAAUAACUCCCCGAAAGGGGUGCUAAUACCGGAUAAUGUCUUCGGACCAAAGAUUUAUCGCCUUUGGAUGGGCCCGCGUUGGAUUAGCUAGUUGGUAGGGUAAAAGCCUACCAAGGCGACGAUCCAUAGCUGGUCUGAGAGGAUGAUCAGCCACACUGGGACUGAGACACGGCCCAGACUCCUACGGGAGGCAGCAGUGGGGAAUAAUGGACAAUGGGCGAAAGCCUGAUCCAGCAAUGCCGCGUGAGUGAUGAAGGCCUUAGGGUUGUAAAGCUCUGUUACCCGGGAUGAUAAUGACAGUACCGGGAGAAUAAGCGCCGGCUAACUCCGUG
rnacentral:rRNA from 1 species